AUUUCAAUAGCUUAAGAUAAAGCACAGCCUUGAAGAUGCUGCGAUGAAUUUAAUUCUUGAAGUA
rnacentral:tRNA from 1 species